rnacentral:lncRNA from 1 species
CAACAUCUGCCAACGGGCAAUCUGUAACACCCCAAAAUUUGCCCUCCUCAUUCAUGCAUUCAUUUAGCAUUUCAUAUUGCAUUUCAUCAUGUCAGUCAGAAUUACAUCCGAAAAAAAAAAAAAAACCGAAAAAAAAAAUGAAAAAAAAAUGAAAAAUAAAACGUAAAAUAAAAAAUAAAAAAAAAAAUUAAUUUUUUACAAAAAUAAAUAAAUAAAUAAAUAAAAUAUAAUAAAAAUUUUUGGACUUGGGUCUCUCUUAUUUGAG